GUUUACAGGGAGUGGGGAAUGUAUAUGGGAAGAGGGUACUCCAACACCAGGUACUGGUAAAGUCCUGGUGGCAGCUUCAGACAGAUGGAACCCUUCCAGUGAUGGCAGCAGUUAGCUCUCAACAGCCCCCAAACCGAAAGGACUCCACUACUCCAAUUUAUCAGAGAGAUUAAGACUCUGACCUAGAGAGACAGAGACAGAAAAGGGAUCAGGAGAAAGGACACAAAAGCCAAAAGAAAGGCUGAGCAUUGUCAAAACUUGACAUAUUCACCACAUUUGUUCUUGUCUUAUUCUCUUCUACAAAAAGACUUAACCGGCAACUGCAAGUAGGAUCUCAAAGCCAGGAUGAGGAUGCCGCGGGUCUACAGGAAGAAAAGUCACAGUUCAGGGUCCUAGAAAAGUAGAAAUCUGGACAGAGGUACCCACUACAAAGAACUUGCAAGAGGCUGGCCUCCCAGGAUCUCUGACACUGGUGGGUAGACGUGGGUUUCAAAUCCCCUUUGUAUGGCUUUAGGUACAUGUCUUCACCUCUCCAAGGCUUCAUUUCCUCACGUAUAGAAUGAUGCUAGUAACACCUGCCUUGUGGACGGUUGAGGCUUAUAUGAGCUAAUACAGGCCUGGUACCUAAACCAGUGGCAAUGUCUGGACACAACUUUGGUUGUCACAUGUGGUGGGGACGGAGGGAGGCAUACUACCAGCACCAGUGGGUAAAAGCCAGAAGCCAGGGAUGCUAGUAAAACUAGUAAUCAUCCCACAACGAUCAGAGCAGCCCCCAUGACAAAGAAUGAUUCAGCCCAAAUGACAGCAUCAAGAAACUUUUCCAAAGCCCAGUACAGAGCGGGGAUCAGCAAACAUUCAUUCCCCACCUCUUCCUCUCUCCACUCCUCUUUCUGGACAGUGCAUAGCAUCAGGGAAGGGCCAGGAUCUCCUUCCCUUGCAUCUCCCAUAGAGAUGGAGAAGGAAAAGUGCCAAACAAAGUGCCUGGCACCUCCUAUCUCUCUGCUCUUCCCGCAGAGCUGUGUCUAGCUGGAAGCCAGGCACACAGCAGGGAUGUACAAAGGACAGAUUUGUUAGCUGACUGGAGCAGAGGCCUCUGUGCAACACCGACCUCAGCUUGGAAACUGGACAGAAAAGCAGCUCUAAGGAAGCUGAGCUCAGACAGGAAGGCUGGGCACGGGUAAUGCCAUGAGAGGGACCUAUGAGCAGGGACCAAAAAAAAAUGACCAUCCAAUUGGGCCCAGGGUGCACCGUUUCUCCAAGACUUGACAGCAAUCUCAUAUGCAGAAGGUCACAUAUGGACAGAAACCCCUGAGGAUAAUUAAUAAUGGCCAGAAUGGUUAAAAAGCAAAAACACAGAAUUCACAAAGUGCAAACUCAGCUGUUGUGCAGGGCAGAAUUCUGAUCUUUCCCCCAGCAGACUCUAAGCCAGUUUCCAUUCCUUAACACUUCCAGAUUGUACACCCGGACCCCCAUCCCUGUUUAUGACCUCGAUCAACAGUACAAAUGCCAAGUUUCCCUCCAAGGGUGAACAUAUUGAGAUCACCAAAACUUGAAAACAGCACAGGCUUUACAGUCAGACUGGUCAAAGAUUUUUGGCAAGAAUACUACAUAAGUGAUGCUAUGUCCUUUCCACUGUACUCCAUCAAAAGCCACAUUUGUCCCAUUAUCGGUA